AGACAUAAAAAGAAAUUUGAAACAGCUGAGCAAUGACAUACUGUUCACGAACAUUCAGACACCCCCCACGCUGCUGUGGAAGGCGUUAAGAGGUCUCCACCAAUGUGCUCCUGACUCACACAGACACCUCCAGAACCCUACUGUGUCUCUACCCAGAUGAGAGCACCCUCUCUGGGGCCACGGUGUAUUCAUGAGGGGCCAUGAGCUGGGGAACUGGCAUUCAAGACAGGAAAUGGAGAUGUCUUCAGAUGAUGACUGAACUGUGUGCAGUGAAAGAACAAGAAAACUGCAAGGCCAGAGAGAAGACAGGCUUACAUACAUUAUGUGGAUGGAGACAAGCCUUGCUGCAUCAUUUGUAAAUGUUUGAAGUGGUUUUGAAGGUGUUUAGGGGGUUGUGUUGGUCUGUUUUAAAGAGAACUGGUGUACACACUCUCAUAGCCAGACUACCAAACUGCUGCAGUAAGCAUGCUCUCCCACGACAUCUUAGAACCACUAAGGCCAGGGUCAGCACUCUCUCCUUUUUUUACCCAUCCUCUUUUACUAACUCUCCCUCUCUCUCUCAAUUCUCUCACUAGCCUUUGAUGCCCAUCAAAACUAAUUUUAACAUGUGGUUGUUUGUUCAUUUUUUUUUUUUUUUUUUUUUUGCAUGACUUUCAACUGUACUGAGAAAAUAAACAGCUGCACUGGCCAAAAAUAACAGGUACUUACCGUAAAUAUUCACAGCUAAGAUUCUCACUUUUUGCUAAAACAAAUACAAGAGAUUGAGCCGCAGCAUGAGUUCCCAUUACCAGCAGCUGAAUGCUUUCCUUUGCAUAUUCUUUGAGGAUUGGUUGCUUGCAUCUGGAAAAGCAACUCUGUUUGGGUGAUGGAAAAAAAUAGGACAUAAACAUCCCUCAGAAAGAUUAACAACCUUGCUUACUUUGAAUGUUUACUAGGGUAAUGGGAAAUAAUCCAGCCUUACCAAAAACAGUGCAUAAAAUAUAGUUAACCCACAUGCAAAUUUUAUGCAAAAUAACACAGUUAAAAUCUUUUUUUUUUCUUUUUUUUUUUCAGUAAGUAUAUCGAAACAAAAGUACUAAAGUGACUGCCCACUUUUAAAUUUUUUUUGUUUCUGAAGUAUUUAUUCAUAUACAUUUUCUCCAUAGGUAUUUAAAAACAAAUAAAUAAAUAUAUAAAAUAAAUAAAAAUAUAACAGGUGAGACAAAAGGUAGAAUAAUGUAAUAAAAUUAAAAACAUUGGUACGUUAUCAAAAUAUUCACUAUAAUUAAUUAAUUAAUUAUGUAUAACAUACCAUAUAACAACAACUUAUCUGAUUGGUGCAUCUCUCUUCAGGACUAUGGGUAGUGUAGUUCUCAAUUUCACAUACAUUAACACGGACAUCUACUGAAACAUAUAUCAUUGCUUAACUUUUUUAUGAGUAGAGUAGAGUAGGGAAUAUAAUUGUCAUGGCUCCAGUAUUUACCGGUUCAUUCUGUUGUUUGUUUUCUUCUCUCCCUCUUGUGUCAUAGGUGGAGUCGGUGAGCGUAAUCGGUGUUUCCUUGGGAACGCUGAUCGCUCCCAGAGAGACGCUGAUUACGGUAAUGGUUUUCUCACAUGCUCCACCUGUCCUCCUCUUAUUGCUCUCCCUAUUUCAUCCCUUGUGUUUUCCCUGUAUGUUUGCUGGUUUAUUGUUUGCUGUACCUUAACGUUGUUCUCUUGUUUAGUGUGAAGUUCCAUUCUGUUGGUUGCUUUGUCUCGGGAGUGGUGUGUGCCCACCAGAUCACUGUUGCCCUGGUGAUCGUGCUCGAGGAGGAUUCCUUGGAUUCUGCCCGCAUGUCGGGAGACUUGCUUAUCUGGGCUCUGCUCCGCACCACACCUUUCUGCUAUGGAUUGUUCCGGACCUCCACAGCACUACACACUAACGAACACACUAUCCUCGCCCCAGUGGCUUCCUUAUUGAGUUCGACCAAGCUGGCGCAGGAACACUUGUUGUGUUUAUUGAACAUUAAAGACUUUUUGAUUUAUCCCCUAUGGUCUUGGGUCCUUUGUCCCAACGAAAUGCCUGACAAUAAUAUAGCAAACGUGAAUAAAUGGGUUAUGUCUGCUGUACUGUUUUUGUUUUAUUUAUUUAAUUUUUAUAACUGUAAAAAAUAAAUGAACAAAUAAUAUUAUCAGUCCGGUUUGCCUAUAUGCAUUGUUUGACUUCUCAGACAUUGUGUGUGUCUUGUGUUUUUGCAUGGCUGUGUGUUUGUGUGUGUGUGUGUGUGUGUGUGUGUGUAAAGAGCGUUUGAGUUGAGAUACGCAUCUCCACCUAAUUAGUAGACGUGGCUGCGUGCAUGGGAAGAUGGUUGUGCAUAUACAAGCUGUGAACUGUUAUCAUGGUACUUUGGUGACAGUUUGGCUGUUUGUUACAUGAACAUUAUGUGCUUGAAAAGAUUUUUUGAGUAUCUGUUUGUUUGACAAAUGACAACUGUUAAUAAUGUAAACAAAUGGCAGCACACAUCGGAGGAAGAUCGCGUUUGAUGUAUUGACUGUACGUAUAAGAUCUGUAAACUUUUUAUUGUGGUACUUUGGU